rnacentral:rRNA from 1 species
AUUAAAAGUAUUUUCUGCUCAGUGUUUAUAAAUAGCUGCGGUAAUUUGACCGUGCAAAGGUAGCAUAAUCAUUUGCUUCAUAAUUGGGGGCUAGUAUGAAUGGAAAUAUGAAAAUUUUUCUUUCUUUUUAUUUUUUUAAAAAAUUGUAGUUAAUGUGAAGAUACAUUAUUUUUAAUAAAAGACAAGAAGACCCUUUUGAGCUUUUAUUUAGUUGGGGCGAUUAAAGAAGACUUCUUUUUAUUUUGACCCAAAGUUUUUUGGUUUUUAGAAUUAGUUACCAAAGGGAUAACAGCGUAAUUUUUUUUAAGAGUUCUAAUUAAAAAAAAAGAUUGCGACCUCGAUGUUGACUUAUAAUUUCCUUUUGGUGCAGUAGCUUAUAGGGUUGGU